rnacentral:lncRNA from 1 species
AAAAAAAAAAUCGCAAUGAAAUUUUUUUUUUCUUCCCAUCCUUCUCAAAAUAGUCUGACUAAGUAAAGGGUCCAGAAGAUCUACUCAAAAGCUUCGAAAAUAUGGUAAAGAGCUUACGAGAACAACCCGGGAGCUCCAAAAGUAGCUCGCGAGCAACCCGGGAGCUCCAAAAGUAGCUCGCGAGCAACCCGGGAGCUCCAAAUGUAGCUCGCGAGCAGCUAGGGAGCUCCAAAUGUAGCUCGCGAGCAGCUAUGGAGCUCCAGAAGUAGCUCGCGAGCAGCCCUGGAGCUCCAAAAGUAGCUCGCGAGCAGCCCUGGAGCUCCAAAAGUAGCUCUCGAGGCUACGAGUGCAAUCCAAGGGAUGUUCUAUUAAGACCAAGGUAUUUUCAAAACUUCUUAACACCUUAGAGAACAACUCAAAGUAUGUUCUACUAAGAUCAAGAUAUUUUCUAAACAACAUCCCAAGACUUUUGAAAGUAACACAACGGAAGCUCUACUAAGACCAUGAUAUUUUCAAACAUCCCAUGGAUUGAGAGACCAACCGAGUGGAAGUCCAUUAAGAUCGAGAUAAGUCCAUUGAGAUACCAAUCCAUUGGAAAUUGCAUGAUGAUAUAUCCCCGAGUUUUUUUUUUUUUUUUCUUCUUCUUCUUCUUCUUCUUUGUAAUGUAAUAUAUAAUAUAAUAUAUUAUAUUAUAUACAAGAUUCACCGAUUCCGAUUUUUAGUUACCGAGGCAUAAUCAUAGGAUGGACCUAUCCGAGUUUUUUUUGAUGNNN